GGAUUAGAUACCCUGGUAGUCCACGCCGUAAACGAUGUCUACUAGCGGCUCGCCUCGUUAGAGGGGUUUUGCGCAGCUAACGCGUUAAGUAGACCGCCUGGGGAGUACGGCCGCAAGGUUAAAACUCAAAUGAAUUGACGGGGGCCCGCACAAGCGGUGGAGCAUGUGGUUUAAUUCGAUGCAACGCGAAGAACCUUACCAUCCCUUGACAUCCAGAGAAUUUUCUAGAGAUAGAUUAGUGCCUUCGGGAACUCUGAGACAGGUGCUGCAUGGCUGUCGUCAGCUCGUGUUG
rnacentral:rRNA from 1 species